rnacentral:miRNA from 1 species
AGUUUCUGUCGGACCGGUUGCA